CAGUCGCCGCGGUAAUACGAAGGGUGCAAGCGUUACUCGGAAUUACUGGGCGUAAAGCGUGCGUAGGUGGUGGUUUAAGUCCGUUGUGAAAGCCCUGGGCUCAACCUGGGAAUUGCAGUGGAUACUGGGUCACUAGAGUGUGGUAGAGGAUAGUGGAAUUUCCGGUGUAGCAGUGAAAUGCGUAGAGAUCGGAAGGAACAUCUGUGGCGAAGGCGACUAUCUGGGCCAACACUGACACUGAGGCACAAAAGCGUGGGGAGCAAACAGGAUUAGAUACCCCAGUAGUCCCUGUCUCUUAUAC
rnacentral:rRNA from 1 species